rnacentral:tRNA from 1 species
GCCCGGGUGGCUCAGUUGGUUAAGCGUCUGACUUCGGCUCAGGUCAUGAUCUCACAGUUCGUGGGUUUGAGCCCCACAAUGGGCU